UAAAAAAAUAAAUCUUACACACACAUACAUACAUUCGCGCAGCUGCCCACAGUGACAUCGGCCAUCACGCAUGCCGGCACCACCGCCCAAUCGGCGCAACGAGAUGGUAUCGUCAACGAUGCGAACGCGGACGCGCACACACAAUGCAACGAAGUAAAUCCGACAAUUUACGAAGAGCUCAAACUUGGCCAAGAAGACGCUUUACGAGUUAAAGUACAGUGGGCCUACGAAUUUUAAUUACCAGCGUCAAUGGCCAUUAGUCUUGCGUGCUUCGGCAGUGGGCAACAGCAGCGCGUAGUCAAGAAAAAGGCGACAACAAUAAGCAAGCGAAACGAAGCGAGCUGAGGAGCAAUUAAAAACCUAGUGAAAGUUUAGAAUUUGUUCGAAAAAGAAAGUGGACGAAGGUGGUUCGGUUAUUGGUAGACAAGCUGCAUAAAUUUUUUUGAGGCAAUAGUUAGGCCUAUGAACAACAGCAACAACAACAAUGGCGACAAGCAAGGCGGCGUAAGAAUGUAAAGGGAAGCGCGACGCAGCUAAUCACCUAGCAAUGAUUGAAUGCUUGGCAGCUGCCAUUUGAGCGUGCAAAAAAGCGUUGCAUUUUAGUUUUUGCAUAUUAGGGUACUCUAAAAAUUGUUUGAAACACGCAAGUUAGCGUGAUAAUUAAUGCUGCCAGAUCAUAUUGUUUUGAGUAAUUGGUGGAACUUACACAUAUUAUAUGGAAAAUUAGUGGUCGUUUCACCAUUUUCUGCAACUACAACUUACUUGUA